AGGCAAGAACUAACAGGAUCCCCAUAGUAAUGGCGAAUGAACAGGGAUGAGCUCAGCAUGGAAAUUGGGGCCUGUGGCUUUGACUUGUAAUCUUGUGAGGCAUUGCCAACAGAGGCGCAGAUGUAAGUCUCUUGGAAAAGAGCAUCAAUGAGGGUGAGAGUCCUGCUUGUCAUUUGCAGCCCCCCUGUGCACGGUGUGCCUUCUAAGAGUCACGUUCCUCGGGAUUGGAGCGCAAAGUGGGUGGUAACUUUCAUCUGAAGCUAAACAAUGGUUUGGGACCGAUAGGAAACAAGUACCAUGAGGGAAAGGUGAAAAGGACUUUGGAAAGAGAGUUAAAAGUGCCUGAAAUUGCUGAAGGGGAAGCGAAUGGAACCAGUGGUGCUGGGUGAGAUUGUCACAUGCUCCAGGGAUUGGUUGCUGCAUCAGCGCAAGCGAUCUGGCAAUUGUUGAACUGCACGUGUGUGGUGUGUCUUGCCUUGUGUGUCAUUGUGGGUUUAUGCAUUAAGACAAUUCAAAGUGCAUGGCAAUAUGUUUCUGAAUCUAUGAAUGUGAUUUGUUAUGUUUAUGCAUAAGCUUCUUGCUGUCUGUCUGGCUGCAGAGCUCGCCGUCCCCAUUUUUUUGGAGAGAUGAGUUGAGCAUUUCCUUCUGCACAGAUCUUGGCUAAAUGGUUCUAUUCGACCGUCUG
rnacentral:rRNA from 1 species